rnacentral:rRNA from 1 species
GAUUAACGCUGGCGGCGUGCAUAACACAUGCAAGUCGAACGAUGAAACUUAACUGAUUUCUUCGGAAUGAUUUUAAGUGGAUUAGUGGCGGGCGGGUGAGUAACGCGUGAGUAACCUGCCUUGGAGAAGGGGAUAGCCUUUGGAAACGAAGAAUAAUACCCUAUGAUAUGAUAAUAUCUCAUGAUAUUAUCAUCAAAGAUUUAUCGCUCUAAGAUGGACUUGCGUCUGAUUAGUUAGUUGGUGAGGUAACAGCUCACCAAGGCAGCGAUCAGUAGCCGGCUUGAGAGAGUGUACGGCCACAUUGGGACUGAGACACGGCCCAGACUCCUACGGGAGGCAGCAGUGGGGAAUUUUGCACAAUGGGGGAAACCCUGAUGCAGCGACGCCGCGUGAUUUAGAAGGCCUUCGGGUUGUAAAAAUCUUUUGUAUGGGAAGAAAAUGACAGUACCAUACGAAUAAGGACCGGCUAAUUACGUG